UUUUACUACAACACUGGCAAAACAAGCACUUGAGUAAUCAGAUUAUAUUUAUCUGUGCAGUUAUUAUAGUUAAAUUCCAUUAAGUCAGUGAGAGCCUUUCCAGUGGUUUUAAUUUCACAAAUUUAGUAAUAGUAGUAACCUUGUAUUGGUUUUUAAAAAAACUAGGUUUGUUUGUUCGCUUCCCCCAUAGGAAUCAUCACUAACAUAGAUAGUUUUAGUAUUAAAACAAUAUUGAUUUAGCCCGAUUUCAGUUGAUGCUUUUCUUUUUAAUUUAAACUCUCUUGGGAUUAUCUUUAUGAAAUGCUGUUGUGUUUACAUGUACAUAUUGUUUUGUAACAUGAUAUCACUUAUGUAAAAAUUCCUGUGGUAUUUUCCUUGGUUCACCACAGUCAUCAUCUUCUAUGUUGUCCACAGGUGUCUGCCUCAGCAGCUGUUCUCACUGUGUUAGUGUUGAUAUACUGUUGUCAACUGCAUUAACUGUACGUUAAAGAUCACAAAGAGAAGUUGAUCACAGGUCCAAGUUCCUGUAUCUUUUCGUCCUGCUUACCUGCCUUUCCAUCUCAGUUCCAUUAAGUCUAUGAGGUAUUUUUUAUUCCAUUUAGUCUUAAAUCACGAUAUUUUUAUGGACUGUUCCAGACUACUCUUCAGAGAGACAGCCAACAAAUCCCUGUUUUGACAAGCCAGUGAUUCAUAGUAGCUGACCAGAGGAGUAGAUCUGCUUCUGGGUUUGAUAACAUGCCUCAGUUUUUGGGUUCAUUUCAAAAAUGGCCACUAGCUAUCCUAGGAGAUUUAAGCAACAAAUUCACAGAUGUCCCCUGCAGGAUCAAAGUGAAGGAACCAAUGUUUCAAGCCAAUAUACAGUUUUUAGCCUUAUCUGUUACAGUGUUGGCUUUUCCUAGAGAGAUUGGCUUCUGUAGAGGUCAAAAGCCAUUUAGGAAGCUUACGCAGAAGUUUAUUACUGCUCUUCCAUCCCAAAGUCCACCUAAUUGUUGAGGGGGAGAAUGGUAAAUACACAGCCAAGUGUAAACAUGUCAUAGUAGUGACCUAUAUAUUUUAAAUAGGCACCAUUCAUACCAUUAGAUGCCUUUUCUUUAGUGCGUUGUCGUAAUCUGUAGAACUGCAUCAAUUCACACAUAACGGGAUACAGAUUGCGAUACAGCUGUUGUGACUUGGAUUACUGAUUUUAGACCUCUUCAUUGGACAAAGUUUGUCAGGAUUCAAUGUCGCCAAAGAUCAAUCUGUCCUCGUAAGUCUUUUUCUUUUUUUUUUUAUGGAGGGGGAUGUAUGAAAACUGUGUACACAUGCAGCUCCUGUUCUUUGGCAAGCAGUCAUAGCAAGGAGUAAUUGCUGAAGUCCUCUGUGGCAAAGUCCAUGUUUUUUUAGGUUUUGCCUUGUGUUUCUGUUUUUUAUGAGAAAAGGGGAGGAAGUUGCAGAAUACAGCCAGAUUAUGCUUAUCAGGUAGCAGCAUAUGCAUCAGCAACACAUCAGUAGCCUUUGCCUCUUUCUAAUAAAUAAUACUUACAGACUUAUUGCACAAGCAUGAUUUUGGUUAAUUUGUUUAAUAAGGUGAAUUUUGCUGGAUCUCUUCUGUUAUUAACACAUUCACCAAUACGUGUUAUUGUCACCAGAGUACAGAAAAAUCUUUUCAUUGGCUGAAGAAAUUCCUCUACUGGAACAGAGCACCUUUUUGUUGCUUAGACAGACAGUAUAGUCAUUGUGUUAAAAUUUGUAAACUGAGGCCUUUAUCAGAAGGCAGCUAGACAACAUUCUUCUUUGGAAUCUCAAAUUAACGCGUUCUCUUUCUCUAGUUUUGUGUGUACUCUGAGGACGGAAGGGCCAGUUAGGAGGCUGAGCAAAGCCAUUGCUACAGAUAGCAAAGAAAUGCAUCUCACUCCCGAUGACAUUGCUGUGAAGAUGCAGAAGAGGAACACCAAAUUCCAAGACUUGCUGCAGGCAUGAAUGCUCCCAGAAGUGUGAGUCAGCUCAAAACAACUCCUAGGAUCUGUGAUGUUUCAUUCUGAAGCUGAAUUGUCAUGACAGUAGUUAUGAGAGGUGAAGAUUGUAAACCAGAACAUUGCAGUGUAAACCCAGUGAUUUUUGAGAUUUCCUAAGUCAGAGGGCUGAAUCCAUCAUGUAUGAAAACAAAUGAAGCUGGGAAUUUGGAGCAGACCUGGCAAAAGGGUAUGAUUGUGGUUUGGAAUAAACUGAAAGAAGGAUGAUUCUUCUCAAGAUAAGAGCAUACUUGUACCUCCAUACCAGGAAAUAAGUUAAAGUAGAAAAGGGUAUCCUGAAGUGGAUGCAGUCAUAUGAACACAAGAAUUCUUUUUAAAAGUUAGCACAUACCGGGGACUGUAAAUCAGCUUUGUUAUGGUAUGACUACAUCUAUACCACUGGUUCUUAAUAAAGUUAGUAAAAAUGUUCUCCUAACUGACAGAGUGAUGCUAAUAAAACUUUUAUGUGUACAAGACCCCUAAAAAUUGGAAUAAUCAAUAAAUAACAUACACAACUAGUGUUAACAUUGCACACCCCAAAUUCAGCAAGAAUUCCUAUUAUGCAAGUCUGAGUUUGUAGAGCCGUAAUUCUACUAAGCUAGCACUGUGGGAGAAUGCAGAAGUUGCUUUUUAGAAGUUGAAGUGCCAUUUUAUUUCUCUUGAUACGUUUUGGGGAACUUUCCAAAAUCAGUCUUGGCACAGCUGAAGCAUCUUUAACAUUCUACUACUGUUUCUUCUACCGCUGUCACCUUUUAAGAGCUUAUGUUUUUAGCAUUCUUCUACCACUAUCACUCUUAAAAGGUUAUGUGUGUUCUCCAAAUGGGACCAGAUUGUACUGAAAGAGUUAUUUUUAAUACAGUUUCCUGUGGAGGAA